UCCUGGCUUAGGAUGAACGCUAGCGGCAGGCUUAACACAUGCAAGUCGAGGGGCAACGCGAGUAGCAAUACUUGGCGGCGACCGGCGCAAGGGUGCGUAACGCGUGAGCAACAUGCCCGUAUCAGGGGGAUAAUCCAGGGAAACUUGGUCUAAUACCCCAUAGUAAUUUUGUAAGGCAUCUUAUAAGAUUUAAAGCUUUGGUGGAUACGGAUUGGCUCGCGUGACAUUAGCUGGAUGGUAAGGUAACGGCUUACCAUGGCUAUGAUGUCUAGGGGUUCUGAGAGGAAGGUCCCCCACACUGGAACUGAGACACGGUCCAGACUCCUACGGGAGGCAGCAGUGAGGAAUAUUGGACAAUGGAUGGAAAUCUGAUCCAGCCAUGCCGCGUAGAAGGAAGAAGGUCCUAUGGAUUGUAAACUUCUUUUGUAUGGGAGCAAUAAGGCCUACGAGUAGGUUGAUGAGAGUACCAUACGAAUAAGCACCGGCUAACUCCGUGCCAGCCGCCGC
rnacentral:rRNA from 1 species